rnacentral:tRNA from 1 species
GGGGAUUUAGCUCAGUGGCAUAAGCGCCUGCCUUGCAAGCAGGCAGUCCUGAGUUCGAUCCUUGGUACCGUUA